AGUGAACGCUGGCGGUAGGCCUAACACAUGCAAGUCGAACGGCAGCACAGGAGAGCUUGCUCUCUGGGUGGCGAGUGGCGGACGGGUGAGGAAUACAUCGGAAUCUACCUUUUCGUGGGGGAUAACGUAGGGAAACUUACGCUAAUACCGCAUACGACCUUCGGGUGAAAGCAGGGGACCUUCGGGCCUUGCGCGGAUAGAUGAGCCGAUGUCGGAUUAGCUAGUUGGCGAGGUAAAGGCCCACCAAGGCGACGAUCCGUAGCUGGUCUGAGAGGAUGAUCAGCCACACUGGAACUGAGACACGGUCCAGACUCCUACGGGAGGCAGCAGUGGGGAAUAUUGGACAAUGGGCGCAAGCCUGAUCCAGCCAUACCGCGUGGGUGAAGAAGGCCUUCGGGUUGUAAAGCCCUUUUGUUGGGAAAGAAAAGCAGUCGGUUAAUACCCGGUUGUUCGGACGGUACCCAAAGAAUAAGCACCGGCUAACUUCGU
rnacentral:rRNA from 1 species